UAAUUUCCAAGAAAAAACAAGUUAUAUGGAAGAGUAAUUGGUGGAUACCAUCCAAACUUUCAAACCUCACAAGGGUAUCACUUGCAUAUUGUCAAAAGCUGGAACAUGUUUUCUCUCAUGGCAUGGCUGCUAGUUUAGUCCAACUGCAACAACUUUCUAUACAGGGCUGCUUCAAUUUGAAGGUAAUUGUGGAGGCAGUGCGAGAUGCCACUAACGAGGUGGUUUCCUUCCCUUGUCUAAAAUUCUUACAACUUUCUCUUCUUUACAAAUUUGAGGGAUUUUGCUUGGGAAAUGAUCAGGCUUUUCAAUGGCCAUCAUUAGAUACUUUGAUAAUAGAAACAUGUCCAAGUAUGACAGUUUUCACCAAGGGACAGUCUACUACUCCAAAGCUAGAGGUAAUAAGAACAGAUUUUGGAUGGUGUGAGGCGAAGGAUGACAUCAACUCCUUUAUAAGGAAAAGAACACAAGAGGGAUACAAAUUCUAGAGAAAGAUUGAUCGAGGCUUCAUGGAGUUUAAGCAGGUAAUCAAAGGGGCGGCUAAGUCUUAUGACGGGGAGUAGACCAGGAUCUCGAUUUCAAAGGUUUCGAGAGGUUUAGUCCUACGUUAUUCAUUUAUUGGAUUUAUUUAUUUGGCUAUUAGACUAGCAUUUCUCUUAAGGUUGUAUUUGGAUUUUCCUUGAGUUAUUGGAAGGUGCUUGAAGUGGUUUGUUUGGAGAUGUUUAUUUCUUUGUUUGGGAUAUAUUUAAUUUCGUUACCA